rnacentral:rRNA from 1 species
AGCGAACGCUGGCGGCAGUCUUAACACAUGCAAGUCGAGCGGGCACUUCGGUGUCAGCGGCAGACGGGUGAGUAACACGUGGGAACGUACCCUUCGGUUCGGAAUAACGCUGGGAAACUAGCGCUAAUACCGGAUACGCCCUUUUGGGGAAAGGUUUACUGCCGAAGGAUCGGCCCGCGUCUGAUUAGCUAGUUGGUGGGGUAAUGGCCUACCAAGGCGACGAUCAGUAGCUGGUCUGAGAGGAUGAUCAGCCACACUGGGACUGAGACACGGCCCAGACUCCUACGGGAGGCAGCAGUGGGGAAUAUUGGACAAUGGGCGCAAGCCUGAUCCAGCCAUGCCGCGUGAGUGAUGAAGGCCUUAGGGUUGUAAAGCUCUUUUGUCCGGGACGAUAAUGACGGUACCGGAAGAAUAAGCCCCGGCUAACUUCGUG